UGCGGGGCGGGGCAGGGGCUCCUCCUCCUCCGGGUUACUUCUUCUUCUUUUUGGUCACCUUGAUCUUCCCCUCGAUCAGCUGCUGGGCCUGCCGCUUGAUCUCGGCCCGCGAGGGGAUAUAGGUGUGGUCCACGUCUGCGAACUGGAAGGUUUCUAGAAAGGAGGUCCAGGAGGAGGGCAGCUGCAAUCUGGAGCCUCUGCUCUAGCGAGCUCGUGUAGAGUUCGGGCUUUGUUGGGGUGCAUUUAUCACAGGGCCAGCUAUUAGCUAUUUUUUUUCUUUUUUCCUGUCUUCCUGAUGUUCUGGCAUGAGGGGUCUUACAGAUCCGGGGAGAGGCAGCCCUCUGGCAGGGCUAGCCAGUCCUUCAGGACAGCACAAGGCCCGCCCACCUCCUGGGAGUGUUCCCUCGUGCAAACCAAGCCAUCCAGAGCCCCUCCACCCUCCUCCCCCUUAUCACACUCUCACACCAAGCCAAUAAUCCUCUGCCUAAAUCAACGAGGGCCAGGGCCGAGACAACUGGGGACAUCGCCUACACAGCAAGCCCACUGGGAUUAUGCCAAAGCCCCAUAUGAAGCCGUUUACCCUGCCUUCCCUUGCCUUCCCAGAGAAACCCCAUUAAAGACUCUGGCCUCAGCCUUCCCCUUGCUUCUUUCCACCUCCUGACGGGCAGUGAUGCCCCGUGUGUCAGGAAAGUUAAUACAUUCUCCUUUUGACGGCAUUAGCCUCUCCGUGUCCUCGCUAAGUCAUUUCCAGUUGAGGACUCCAGGGCAUCCCUCACCUUGGUGCUGACCUGCGGAGCACAGGGGCCUGUCGGCUCCGAGGGCACAGGGCACGCACAGGCCCCCCUGCCGCGGGUACCUCCUCGGUCCCGGACAGCGUCUGCAGUCUGUCGGCCAGGUGCAGGAGCUUCCCCUCGCAGUACGCCAGCUUGCCGAACACGUCAGGCGGCUCGGAGAGCACCACUUCUUUCUGUAGAUUUGAAGCUGUUGAGGACGAUGGGGAGGGCGGCACAGAGUCAAGGGCAAGGCGGCCGCGGUCCUGAGCUUCUUCAUCAGGACCUCGAGCUGCGCCCGCCGCCGCUCACAGUCCUCCAUCUGCAGCCCCAGGUUCUCCUCCGUGUUCCUCUGAGCCAGGAGGCGGCCAGCGAUGUCCUGGCCGGGCCCGUGGGGAGAGAAUCGGGUGUGGGCCUGGUGAGCAUGGGCCACACAGACCCGGUUUCUUCCGGGAUCCCCCAGCGGUCAGCACCGAUGCCGACCGCGGCCAGGCCCUGGGGGAAGCCCUGGGAGACCCCACACGUUGCUCACACCACAAGCAGAGAGGGCAGCCUCCCAAGGCAGAGACCAGGAGAUCACCCCUGAGCCACUGGUCCAAGGCAGGACAAGCUUGUGUCAGGGCGGGAUGGAGCGAAGCUUACUACUAAUAAAGCCCGAUUGGAUUAAACCGA